AACGAACGCUGGCGGCGUGCUUAACACAUGCAAGUCGAACGCGAAAGAGUUCUUCGGAACUUGAGUAGAGUGGCGCACGGGUGAGUAACGCGUAAGUGAUCUACCCCUGUAUCUGGAAUAACUAUGGGAAACUGUAGCUAAUACCGGAUACGUUCAUGUAGUUGCGAUUAUGUGAAGAAAGAUGGCCUCUGAUUCAAGCUAUUGUACAGGGAGGAGCUUGCGUACCAUUAGCUAGUUGGUAGGGUAAUGGCCUACCAAGGCAACGAUGGUUAGCGGGUCUGAGAGGAUGAUCCGCCACACUGGAACUGAAACACGGACCAGACUCCUACGGGAGGCAG
rnacentral:rRNA from 1 species